GCCCAGGUGGCGGAAUUGGUAGACGCACUACCUUGAGGUGGUAGCGGCGAAAGCCGUAGGGGUUCGAGUCCCCUCUUGGGCACCA
rnacentral:tRNA from 2 species